rnacentral:lncRNA from 1 species
GUUUUCUCAAGAUUCUUCCAUGGAUGGCCCUGGGAACGACGGCCAUACUAGUAGAACUGACUCUAGUUCAUUUGCCAGGGCGUCACUGUAUGAAACAGACACGCAUUUGAAAAAGCGAAUUUUAGCCUAGUAGGGACAGUUUGGGAUUGCUGAAAACAAAGGGUGGACCUCAAAGGACUCAUCGAAACGAGCGUAGCAGCUCCCCCGGGCUCCUCGGCUAGUCAGUGGACCUUUGGGUAGAGGUGCGUGGAAACCGACUGACCUCGGUGAGAAAGCUCGGCGGCAUCCUCGCAUGAGUUUUCCUAGGAUCUAAUUUCUGCUUGAUCUGGAUACUGUGUCUCUAUCAACGAAACAAGUGACUGUACUCAGAAACUUUCCCUUCCACGCACAUUCCUGGGUCCGCUGCUUUCGAUUAUGUCACGCUGGUUACUGGAACUUCUUUUGCUGCGGUUUUUUCCUAACAGGAGCUCGGGGCCCUUCGGCGCAGCGUUCUCCCCUCUCAUCUCUAAAUUUCUUUCUCCACUCUUUUGUCCUUUUAGCGUCAGGGCUUUCCAAAGACUGGCACCUCUAAGUUUUACUUGGGAAUCUGAAUUCUCUGAGGGACUACGGCGCCAUAAUUUAAGAAAAUUAAAAAUAAAAAAUAAAG